CCUACGGGUGGCUGCAGUGGGGAAUAUUGGACAAUGGGCGAAAGCCUGAUCCAGCCAUGCCGCGUGUGUGAAGAAGGCCUUCGGGUUGUAAAGCACUUUCAGUGGGGAAGAAAGCCUUGGGGCUAAUACCCUCGAGGAAGGACAUCACCCACAGAAGAAGCACCGGCUAACUCCGUGCCAGCAGCCGCGGUAAUACGGAGGGUGCGAGCGUUAAUCGGAAUUACUGGGCGUAAAGCGCGCGUAGGCGGUCUGAUAAGCCGGUUGUGAAAGCCCCGGGCUCAACCUGGGAACGGCAUCCGGAACUGUCAGGCUAGAGUGCAGGAGAGGAAGGUAGAAUUCCCGGUGUAGCGGUGAAAUGCGUAGAGAUCGGGAGGAAUACCAGUGGCGAAGGCAGCCUUCUGGACUGACACUGACGCUGAGGUGCGAAAGCGUGGGUAGCAAACAGGAUUAGAUACCCGAGUAGUC
rnacentral:rRNA from 1 species